AGGGCCGGCUGCCCCUCCAGGAGCAGCAGAUUACAAACGUCACCUUGUUAAAACCAAGUCUAAGUUGUGUCUGGAGGAGCAGCCCUCCCUGCUGACACCCGGCCUGUCCACUCUGCCAAGCCCAGAGACACAGCUGCAAACUGAAGGAGUCGCUGUGUUUACUGGGGAAAGUUCAGCUGGUGGUCCCUGUAUCACCACCAGCAACACACACACCAGCACACAUGUAUAAAUACUCACUAUGUUGAAAGCCACAUGUGUAGGUUAGGCUGUAAUCUCUGUGUAGAAUCUACUGACAACCAUAAAUCAGCCUCAACAGUCGCUCUUUGUUGUGAUUCUCCUGUUCAGAGCCAGUAAGACUGUCGUCCUCCAGCUGCUGUCCCUGGUUCCUGUGAACAGAGACAGAGACACAGUGAGACGGGCGGUGUCCCUGUGUGGAGCCCUGGGUGGAGAACUGGACCUCAGUCACACCACACUGGAUCAGAGGUCCUGUGGAGCUUUGGCUCAGCUGCUGGACGUCUCUGAAGGGCUGACAGAACUGGACCUGAGUCACUGUGAGCUCACUGACCAGCUGCUGCUCUCACUCCUCACACAUCUGCACAAAGUCCAAGUCCUGGAUCUGAGUCACAAUAAGAUCACUGAUGCUUCAGCUGACAUGUUACUUGAACUGGUCGCCAUCAACCCCUCCAUGGACACUGUGCGGUGAGCAUACAUGAAUCAAUGUUCCAUCAUUUAUUCAGACGUUUGUGCUUCAUCCUCUCAGGUUAGUGAAGUUAAUACUGUUCCACAUGUUACUGUGGCUGAGUGAGUGAUGUUUCUCUGCUCUGGUCUUUUUCUAGACUCUUCAGGAACAACAUUAAGGACACAACUUCUUUUAAGGAACACACGCAGUUUGAAAUCUGGUGAAUCAGCCGUCAGUGUGGUGGUGAUGUGCUGAUCAGGGAAUCAUUGAUGUCUCAUGAUGGUUAGAUGAUGAUGUGUUACUGUUUUGGUGGUGGAUAGUUUAUAAUACGGUACCAUCAUGUUCCACACGAUGAUCUCUGCUUCACAGAUGAGAACAUCAUGACUCUCGCUCUUUUUUAUAGAUUGAUUCAGACGGCAGCUUGUCUGGAGGCCGACAGCAGCCAGCAGUGUUUACAGUCAUUAUCUGGAGAUGACGACUCUUCUCUUGUUCAUCAGAUACUGUAGAUUCUUCUUUAAUGUGUUCAUAUUUAUGUGAUAACUCUCAGGUUUCACACAUCAGAUUGUUCUGUUGGGUCCACGAUUACAUUCUGUUUUUAUUAUAACAAAACAAAUAGAGGCCAUAACUGUUACUUGGUUUUAUGAGUUGGCCUAAUUUAUCAUUUUGUAUUUUGUUAUAUUAACUUUUACUUUGUGAAAUUAUAUUUGUGUAUUUUGUGAUGAAUGUUGAGUUCAGUGUGGAGAAGAAAGACUAUAAUGACGUCUCAGAGUAAUGAUGCAAUAAAGGUGCUUUCAGGAUCAAAUCAUGUUCGGUACAUCGAGAUAACAGUAAAUUAUCUCAAGAAAAUCAUCUUCAGAAUGUAAAUAUGAGUUUUGUUUUUAUUUCACAUUUUAAAUUAAGUGAUUCUGAGUUACUGUUCCAGAGAGAGACCAGGUUGUAGGAACCCAGCCCAUGCUGUUCUUCUCGCAGGAGGCCCGGCUGUGGGUCUGCGUGACCUCCCCCCUCCUCGUGAACCUUUGGUGUCCUUUAUCACGAGGGUCUGCUUCCCCUUUUCUAAUUCUCUCCCCUCUCAACCUCAUGACAAAAUCAUCUCUUAUAUUAUAAACUGUGACUUUACAACAAAAGCCUAUCUGUGGACUAACUAUCCCUUCACCCAAUUUCCGGUUAGAAGGACAAGAGCCAUACGUCAAAGAUAGCCACCAGCAUCUGACUGUCCCAUGUCACCGUGAAAUCAAGGAUCGUAAAAGACAGCCAUAAACAUUUCCAUACCAGCAGAAGUGAAAAGAGUCCUGAUCUCUUUCCUAAUCCAAGAAAGAUACCAAGCUAUAGUCUAACCUUUGCCUUAAUGAUAUUUUUUUCAACAGCUGGACCAGACAUACGUUUUGAUAUGUUUACUAUCUUCCUGAUGUAAUCCUAAACCAAGUUAUAAGUUUCUGUAUUAAUACCUGAAUAAGUGAUGGAGCCACAGUGCCACCUUGUGGUAAACUUCGGUAUAGUUCCCAGAGGACUUUCUUAAGUAAUGUAAUCCAUAAUCUUGGUUAUCUAUACUCUUCUCUUACUUCC
ensembl:lncRNA